UCGGCCACACUGGAACUGAGACACGGUCCAGACUCCUACGGGAGGCAGCAGUAGGGAAUCUUCCGCAAUGGGCGAAAGCCUGACGGAGCAACGCCGCGUGAGUGAUGAAGGUCUUCGGAUCGUAAAACUCUGUUAUUAGGGAAGAACAUAUGUGUAAGUAACUGUGCACAUCUUGACGGUACCUAAUCAGAAAGCCACGGCUAACUACGUGCCAGCAGCCGCGGUAAUACGUAGGUGGCAAGCGUUAUCCGGAAUUAUUGGGCGUAAAGCGCGCGUAGGCGGUUUUUUAAGUCUGAUGUGAAAGCCCACGGCUCAACCGUGGAGGGUCAUUGGAAACUGGAAAACUUGAGUGCAGAAGAGGAAAGUGGAAUUCCAUGUGUAGCGGUGAAAUGCGCAGAGAUAUGGAGGAACACCAGUGGCGAAGGCGACUUUCUGGUCUGUAACUGACGCUGAUGUGCGAAAGCGUGGGGAUCAAACAGGAUUAGAUACCCUGGUAGUCCACGCCGUAAACGAUGAGUGCUAAGUGUUAGGGGGUUUCCGCCCCUUAGUGCUGCAGCUAACGCAUUAAGCACUCCGCCUGGGGAGUACGACC
rnacentral:rRNA from 2 species